rnacentral:tRNA from 1 species
UCCCUCUUAGCUCAGUUGAUAGAGUGCGUCACUAGUAUUGUUUCGGUACAUGAUCAGUUAUGACGAGGUCAGUCGUUCAAGUCGGCUAGAGGGAA